ACUGGUGUACAUGAUGACUUGUACAUUUUUUCCCCAUCAGAGCGGAAGUGUUGAUCUCUAUGCUAUUAGCCAGAAUUUGUCUGAUGCACCGCG
ensembl:snoRNA